UGCGGGGUCCCCGGCCCCGCCUCGGGGCUCGCCGUGCCUGGAGGCGACGCGCCGCUGCUCCCGCAGCCCCGAGCCCUGCGAGCCCGAACGGGAGAGAAACAAAAGCAUCCUCCAAAGGAGAUGUGACAUCUUCUUUUCUCUGUUGGUAUCUGUUAUCUUCUGAAGAAAGCAUGUCUGAAAGCGAAACCUGGACCUCUCACCUUCUCUCCCUCGAAGUUGAGUGUCUUUCUCCUUCCUCUUCUUACCACCAGGGUCUUUUCUGUGAUUUUGACGCCCCAGUUAUUUUUCAUAAAUAUUUAUUUUCCCAUGGAAACCAUUCUUCCUUAACCGAGUCUUUUGUGGCAUUUUUAGCCUUCCGUUCCCUAACUUCAGACUUUCCACCUUGAAACAAUUCAUCUCUCUUUCCCCAGUGUAGCAAAAUUGACUAAAGACUCUUUAUCUAGAAGAUAACAAUUCAAAGACUCUUUCCUUUGAUCAUUAGAAGCAUUCUCCCACUAAUUAAUAUACAUUUAUUCAUCUCCAAUUUUUAUCCAUUCAUAUUUUGUAUAUAUAUGUAUAUGGGUUUUAUAUAUGUAACAAUAUUUUUUCCAGCUUAUUUCCCCUUUUUUUAUAAACUUUCUUAGUUUUGUAGAUUCUCCUUUCAAACUCAGGCCAUGCUCUUAAAAUCUUCAUGAAAGCCAUUUUGCUUCUGUAAGAUUCUGCUCUAAAUUAAUCAUUCUUGAACAUGAAACAACUGAAAAUCCACACCAGCUUCUCGUAGCUCUCACCACUGAGAAAUAAAGAAGACAGCCGACUAAACAAUCAGUUUAAUAUAAACCAGAACAUCUAUUUGUAGUAUCAGGUUUUAAUACCUCUUGAAUUCACGCCUUCAAAGUUUCUUUCUGCCUGUCAAGCCAGCUAAGUCACACCUCUUUCUAUUUAACAUGGAAUCACAGAAUCCCAGGAUGGUUGGGGUUGGAAAGGUCCUUAAAGACCAUGGGCAGGGACACUUUCCACUAGACCAGGUUGCUCUACAUAUUUUUAUUCCACAUUUAUGCCCGAUUUAUUUCAUCGGCUGAAAGCUUCCCUUGGAAAAGUGUUACCUGUAGGUAUUUGUUCUGUUUGACCUGCCUGGGUGGUGCUUUCACUCGUCUGUCAGUGGGGGUUUGUGUCGAUGUCAACAGGAGCUCGAGGGUUCUCCAUCUGCCAGGAACAGGCAAUAGAAUUUAAAAAAUAUGAGGAAAAUGUUCAGUGAUAUCUAGAGUAGCUUAAUUAGAAUUUUUAAAGAUGCUACGAGUGCUUUCCUCAGAGCACUUCCUGCUCACUGCUCUGUGCUGUGGAUCCACGAACAGCCACGGAACAAACUUUGGUUUUCUCAUACGUGGGGCUGAUUUCACCCUGUUGUGCACAACAAUGCGUCCCAAACAAUCCCAGACAUUCAGUGAGGUUUUCUGGUUCGUGUUUCUAAAUUUUAGAGCCCUUGAUUCCAGCUGAGAAAGUCCCACUUGAAGUUGAGAUGCUGUUUGGAGAGUUCAUCCAGGGGGAAUGUGCUUGGCAGCUGGGUGAAGGAGGUGAAGGAGGUGCUCCUCACAGCAAGAGUGUUGCAGAGCAAGGCUGAGAGUCUGCUCUUCAGAGAAGAAUUUACCAAUUACUCUAAAAAAAUUCCAUUUUUCUUGCUGAUACAAAAAUUGACGUACAUUUCUCCUUGGGUUUGGUAAUCAAACGUGAUUAACGGUAAUAAUAUAUAAAGGUAUCGUGUCUUAUAUAAUAAUAGUUUAAUUAACAGUAAUGCCAGGUAAAAGAAAUGCUCCUCAAGAAUCACAGCCCUCAGUGAUGGUGCACUUUCCAACUUUAAAUAUCCAGGGAUAUUUUUUACCGAGGAAAAACUCAAGAACCUGUGCCAGAACAACUUAAGGAAGAGUUCAAAGCCUAGGAAUUAAUUAAGAUUGAGACUACAAUUUGCAUGUGAUCACUGCCAGCCCGGAUUUGGGUUGACUUCAUUUGCAUCAUCGUUCGUGUCCUCAGCUUUCCCGAGGACCAAACCAGGGCAGUUGAAUCGAGUCGGAGCCGCACCUUCUCUUCAAGCACAAAUCCCAACCUCCAGGUACAAAUCCCCGCAGCCUCGGGGUCCCCGGGACAUCGCUUCCUGCUUCAAAAUGAACGGGAAAUCCCAAUGCCCUGUCCUAAAGCCCAGGGAGGAAUCUUCCCUCUGGCAGCAAGGUACAAUUUAGGAAAAGAAGGAAAUUUGGUGGCAGCGUUUCCAGGAGCUGCUCGCGCAUCUCAGCAGGAUUUGUCAGGAACUUCAUCUACGAGGGAGCCCAAACCCCUCAUCCUGUUCCAGCAGGACAAUUAAAACCCCUCGUUAAAUUCUUUAUCGUCACUCGGAACACCCAAAUGUCCCUUAUUUGCAUACAGCUCGCGUUGGUGAUUUAGGGCUGCAUCCAAACGAUUCUCCUCCCCAAAUCAUUAGGGAGUUCUUUGACACCCUCUGAUGGCCCUUGGCUGCCCCUGCUCUCCUGCUUCCCUCCCUCCUCGCCUCACAAAAAAUGCUUUUCACCAAGGGUGGAGACAACCACCCUCACCCCCUCUUGAGUUCUUCAGCGCCUCACAUCUUUCAUGGGGGGGGAAAAAAAAAAAAAAAGGAAAAAUUGUGUAUUUGCCGCGAGAGCGUUUG